rnacentral:lncRNA from 1 species
GUCAUGCCUGAAAAAAUAAGAAUAUACAGUACCUUCCUAGGUUUCAUGCAUCCAGAGUUUUCCAUAUUAUCACCCUAAGUUUCAUUCUACCUUCAUUAGUAAUCUCUCUCUCUCUCUCUCUGUUUGUAAAAAUAAGAACAAUCCUAAGAACUGGUAAUAGAACAAGACUGAGAAUGAAAAUGGAGUUAUGUAUAUGAGUGAGAAAGAAACAAUUUAAUGAAAAUGACAUAGCAUUAAAUGAAUGAUAGGGGAAAGAAAUUUCACUCCUUUGUCCCUGCCCCUUAAGGCCAUUUCAUACCAGAUAAGACGCACACGACGCACGAGGCGCAUAACUGCGUGGCUUAAAAAUCACCUCAGUGUAUUUCCAAUAGGAAAGUUCACACCGGAUGUGAAACUUUGGGACAAAUGCCACCCACAUUGCGCACACCGAUUCCAAGAUCACCAGGCAGGCGGUUUUUCUGGCAAUAGUAUCGAUGGGUUAUGCCCAUUGGGACUCCAGUCUUUGUGCUUUUGUCUCCAGAGGCAUACCACACAGACCCUCAACUCUCCCUCAUUCACUCUCUGUCCUCCACUGUGAACUGAUGGAUGUCCUGUAGUUGGUGCCUUGCUUCUUAAUAUCUUGUUCAUUGAAUGAUUGAACUUCAGGGAACUGAGCUGGACUCAGUCUGAAAUACUAUCCAAAUUUCCCUCAUCCAUUUUUAACUCUUAAAUAAGAUGAUAUUCACCACAUUGCAGUCGUUUCAUAUUUGCUUGAUAUACCCAAUUCCUUUUCGUCUUAUUAAUCAAUGCUAAAGAUAACAUUAAUAACUCCUCUUCCUACACCUCCCCUCCUCCACCUCCACGUCAAGAACUGUUAAGUCAACAAGCCUCCACUACAGCGAAUCUUUCUCCUAGCAUCGCACCCAGUGUGAACAUACCCAUAGCAACCAAAGUCAGCUCAACCUAGAGUUUGCUGCUUUGUUGUCCGGCAUGAAAUGACCUUUAUCCUUCACUGAUAAGGGGCAAGGGGGAGUGACAAAAAGAGAGGUUUGAGACAAGACAAAGGUAGAGGAAAGGAAAAAAAAAGGGGAAAAGACAGGCAUUAUAUAUUGAGCAGUGACUCUCCCAGCUGGUGCCAGAAGCUGAGAUGCCAUACCUUGCAGGCUAUGAGGAGACAGGUUUUCUCAACAACCUCCAUGUUACUAUUGAUGACAUUGAGUUUCUAGCUGACAAUUGUACCAAGAUCUAUGUGUGGCACACACGAACACAGAAAAGCAAGGCCGCCUCAAGAGAGAUACUGGACAAUAAGUAUGAUGGUACUAACCUCAGACAUCUACAAGCAGCAAUGGCUGUUCAGUAAUCAUAUGAAAGCAUCAAACAUCCAAAAAGCUGCUCUCUUCUACAUAUGGAGGACCUACCAAUCUCAAAAUAUCCUCACUAUCUUCAGAAGGCUGAAUGAAAACUGCCAGAAGAAAGCCAGAAGAAAGCACAGUGGUCACAAGUUAGCCAGAUCCAAGCUGAACAUAUCCACAGGCAGUUUUUCACCUGUCCCAUGCCAUCUCUUCACGUUCAACUGUCCCGAAGGCAGUGUUUUUCACCUGUCCCAUGCCAUCUCCUCACGUUCAACUGUCCCAUGUCAUUAACUCCUGGUCAAUCACACUUACCUUCUAUCCUAUCCAGUUCUUUUUUUUACCUGUUGCUCUUAUCUCUGUGCAUCUCAUGAAUAUAACAAAUACAAUGGAUCCUCGGACUUAUAAUUCAUUCCAGAAGGCUGUUCCAUGUCUGAAAUGUUCCAAAUCCAAAAGCUGUUUUUCUCAUAGGAAACAAUGUUAAAAAAUUUCCAUUCCAAGACACCAAAUUUUUAUCCAAAUAAAUAAAAAUUGAACAUGUAAAAUUAAUAUUAUCUAACUUCAUGGCACACAUAGAUGAUGGUGUGAGAGGGCACGGGAGUACUUCCCUUCCAAUAAGAAGUUCUGGUAUGUUAAUGAAUAUUUAAGAAAUUUAGCUUCCGAAUUUUUUUCACUCACCUAGUCCUUGAGAUCAUAUAUCAUGUGAUUUUUUUUUUUUUUGUAUUUAAAUUCCCCCCUGGGAAUCCAUUUUUAAAUGUCUUGUGCUGUUGCAUCAUUGCCUGACAUGUGCUAAUAAAAACCAUCUAUCACAUUCAAUGCUAUUAUCAAGGCUUGUGUCUUACAGGCAUAAAUUGACAAGAAUUAAUAUCAGAAACCAAGACAAUGAGAAACAAACACAGCUGUGGCUGACAACUUUGACCUUGAAGUCCCCCACACACAUCACUUCCUUAUCUCUCCUCCCCAACCCUCACCCCAGCCCACACACUUCUCCACCCUGCAUCUCUAUCAACAUACUGCUAUGAUCUACACAAACUUUUUUCUGACCAUCUUUACCAUCACAACUAUAUUAUUAUUAUACAUCACCUGACUCAUAACAAGCCUCACUACACUACUGCAAAAGAUUCUGUUGAGAUAGAGGUAUGAAGCUGAACCAGAUGAGUAAUAAUUCCUUCAGUGUCCCUAUCUCACCUCAACACACUGAUCACAACUCAGAGAUUCUCCAGUUCAGUCGUAAAAGAGUAGAUUACCGUGACACUGCUGAUGGUGCCUUGUUACUUUGUUACUUAUAAGAUUAGUGUACUUAUAUGAAAUAUUACUCAACCAUCCUAUCUGGUUAAGUGACUGGUCAAAUGUCCUCACCUCAGCUGGGAAAAGAACAAGGCUGCAACACAGAAUCAAAACAAAAUGAAGCGGUACCUGAAGCUAACCUCCGUUAAUGGUGCUGGCUUUACCCGGAUUCAGCUAGAUUCAGUGGCCUUCAGAUGUUCAAAAUUUUUUCCAACACUGAGGGAAAAAAUUAUUUAAAUUUUUGUUGCAAGUUCUAGGGUCCACUGUAUUUAUAUUAUUUGUGAAAACUGGUUGAUAUAGAGUGGACCCUCGAUCCUCAAACACACUAUGUUCCAGGACCGAACUGAUCAAGAUCUGAAACUGUUUUCUCCAUAGGAAAUAAUCUACUAAAUGUUAAUCCAUUGCAAGACCUCAGAUUGUUACCUAAAUAAACAGAGACAACCUCUAUCAGCCAGUCGAGAUCCAGUUUUUGGUUGACCGAUGAAAUAAUUAAUUGAUUUUUUUUUUUUUUGGGGGGGCAGGGGGGGGUUGGAGUCUGAAUUGUACAAGGUCCAAGGGUACACUGUAAUAUAAAACACACACACAAUGUUUGUUGUGUUACUCUUUUUUUCUUUUUUAAUUCCUACAUGUUGAUACUAUUAUCAAUAAGAGCUAAGAUUUAUAUAUUUAUCAACCAUGUUCAUAUAUUUUACAAUGAUCAAAUGUGGAUCUUGAAUAAAAGUCCAAGAAACAGUACUCACUCA